CAUAUCACGUUGAAACACUGGUUUCCGUACGAUCAAUGAAGUUAAGCAGCGUCGAGUAUUGUCAGUACUUAGAUGGGUAACAGCUUGGGAACAGCAAAUGCUGUAAG